CAGUCGCCACGGUAAAACGAAGGGGGCUAGCGUUGCUCGGAAUGACUGGGCGUAAAGGGCGCGUAGGCGGCGAUCAAAGUCAGGCGUGAAAUUCCUGGGCUCAACCUGGGGGCUGCGCUUGAUACUUGGUUGCUUGAGUGGGGAAGAGGGUCGUGGAAUUCCCAGUGUAGAGGUGAAAUUCGUAGAUAUUGGGAAGAACACCGGUGGCGAAGGCGGCGACCUGGUCCUUGACUGACGCUGAGGCGCGAAAGCGUGGGGAGCAAACAGGAUUAGAUACCCCUGUAGUCCCUGUCUCUUAUAC
rnacentral:rRNA from 1 species